rnacentral:rRNA from 1 species
AGAGUUUGAUCCUGGCUCAGAACGAACGCUGGCGGCGUGCUUAACACAUGCAAGUCGAACGCGAAAGGGGCUUCGGCCCCGAGUAGAGUGGCGCACGGGUGAGUAACGCGUAAGUGAUCUACCCCUGUAUCUGGAAUAACUAUGGGAAACUGUAGCUAAUACCGGAUACGUUCAUGUGAUUGCGAUUAUGUGAAGAAAGAUGGCCUCUGACCUAAGCUAUCGUACAGGGAGGAGCUUGCGUACCAUUAGCUAGUUGGCAGGGUAAAGGCCUACCAAGGCGACGAUGGUUAGCGGGUCUGAGAGGAUGAUCCGCCACACUGGAACUGAAACACGGACCAGACUCCUACGGGAGGCAGCAGUGAGGAAUAUUGCGCAAUGGGGGCAACCCUGACGCAGCGACGCCGCGUGGAUGAUGAAGGCCCUCGGGUCGUAAAAUCCUGUCGGAUGGAAAGAAGUGCAUAUAUGCUAAUAUCAUGUAUGUUUGACGGUACCAUCAGAGGAAGCACCGGCUAACUCCGUGCCAGCAGCCGCGGUAAUACGGAGGGUGCAAGCGUUGUUCGGAAUUACUGGGCGUAAAGCGCGCGUAGGCGGUUUGUUAAGUCAGAUGUGAAAGCCCCAGGCUUAACCUGGGGACGUGCAUUUGAAACUGGCAGACUUGAGUAUUGG